rnacentral:rRNA from 1 species
UCCGUAGGUGAACCUGCGGAAGGAUCAUUACCUAGAGUUGUAGGCUUUGCCUGCUAUCUCUUACCCAUGUCUUUUGAGUACCUUACGUUUCCUCGGUGGGUUCGCCCACCGAUUGGACAAAUUUAAACCCUUUGUAGUUGAAAUCAGCGUCUGAAAAAACUUAAUAGUUACAACUUUCAACAACGGAUCUCUUGGUUCUGGCAUCGAUGAAGAACGCAGCGAAAUGCGAUAAGUAGUGUGAAUUGCAGAAUUCAGUGAAUCAUCGAAUCUUUGAACGCACAUUGCGCCCCUUGGUAUUCCAUGGGGCAUGCCUGUUCGAGCGUCAUUUGUACCUUCAAGCUCUGCUUGGUGUUGGGUGUUUGUCUCCUGUAGACUCGCCUUAAAACAAUUGGCAGCCGGCGUAUUGAUUUCGGAGCGCAGUACAUCUCGCGCUUUGCACUCAUAACGACGACAUCCAAAAGUACAUUUUUACACUCUUGACCUCGGAUCAGGUAGGGAUACCCGCUGAACUUAAGCAUAUCAAUAAGCGGAGGA